rnacentral:rRNA from 1 species
GAUGAACGCUGACAGAAUGCUUAACACAUGCAAGUCUACUUGAACUUCGGUUUGGGUGGCGGACGGGUGAGUCACGCGUAAAGAACUUGCCUCACAGUUAGGGACAACAUUUGGUAACGAAUGCUAAUACCUGAUAUUAUGAUUUUAGGGCAUCCUAGGAUUAUGAAAGCUAUAUGUGCUGUGAGAGAGCUUUGCGUCCCAUUAGCUAGUUGGAGAGGUAACGGCUCACCAAGGCGAUGAUGGGUAGCCGGCCUGAGAGGGUGAACGGCCACAAGGGGACUGAGACACGGCCCUUACUCCUACGGGAGGCAGCAGUGGGGAAUAUUGGACAAUGGACCAAAAGUCUGAUCCAGCAAUUCUGUGUGCACGAUGACGUUUUUCGGAAUGUAAAGUGCUUUCAGUUGGGAAGAAAAAAAUGACGGUACCAACAGAAGAAGUGACGGCUAAAUACGUG